UAAACGUUGGGCGCUAGAUGUGGGUCACAUUCCACGUGAUCCGUGUCGCAGCUAACGCAUUUAAGCGCCCCGCCUGGGGAGUACGGCCGCAAGGCUAAAACUCAAAGGAAUUGACGGGGGCCCGCACAAGCGGCGGAGCAUGCGGAUUAAUUCGAUGCAACGCGAAGAACCUUACCAAGGCUUGACAUAUACAGGAAAACUGCAGAAAUGUAGUCCCCGCAAGGUCUGUAUACAGGUGGUGCAUGGUUGUCGUCAGCUCGUGUCGUGAGAUGUUGGGUUAAGUCCCGCAACGAGCGCAACCCUCGUCCUAUGUUGCCAGCACGUUAUGGUGGGAACUCAUGGGAGACUGCCGGGGUCAACUCGGAGGAAGGUGGGGAUGACGUCAAAUCAUCAUGCCCCUUAUGUCUUGGGCUUCACGCAUGCUACAAUGGCCGGUACAAAGGGCUGCAAUACCGUAAGGUGGAGCGAAUCCCAAAAAGCCGGUCUCAGUUCGGAUUGAGGUCUGCAACUCGACCUCAUGAAGUCGGAGUCGCUAGUAAUCGCAGAUCAGCAACGCUGCGGUGAAUACGUUCCCGGGCCUUGUACACACCGCCCGUCAAGUCACGA
rnacentral:rRNA from 1 species